rnacentral:rRNA from 1 species
UACGGGGGGGGCAAGCGUUGUUCGGAAUUACUGGGCGUAAAGGGCUCGUAGGCGGCCAACUAAGUCAGACGUGAAAUCCCUCGGCUUAACCGGGGAACUGCGUCUGAUACUGGAUGGCUAGAGGUUGGGAGAGGGAUGCGGAAUUCCAGGUGUAGCGGUGAAAUGCGUAGAUAUCAGGAGGAACACCGGUGGCGAAGGCGGGUCUCUGGGCAGUAACUGACGCUGAGGAGCGAAAGCGUGGGGAGCGAACAGG